ACACAAAAAAGAAGCAGUUUUUCUUUUGAGAACUGCAACUUUAUCCACCCCUUUCUGUACGAACGAUGAUUUAUUUCAUCCUUUGUCUCUUCUUUAUCACCCAAAUCUAUUUUUUUUACCCCAUAUACCAAACAUGCGAUAGACUGAUAUCAUUCUUUUGGAUGAUCAUUAUCUUUUUUAAUGAUUAACUAAAA
rnacentral:misc_RNA from 1 species